GUAGUCCAUGCCGUAAACGUUGGGAACUAGAUGUGGGGACCAUUCCACGGUCUCCGUGUCGUAGCUAACGCAUUAAGUUCCCCGCCUGGGGAGUACGGCCGCAAGGCUAAAACUCAAAGGAAUUGACGGGGGCCCGCACAAGCGGCGGAGCAUGCGGAUUAAUUCGAUGCAACGCGAAGAACCUUACCAAGGCUUGACAUAUACGAGAACGCACUGGAGACAGUGAACUCUUUGGACACUCGUAUACAGGUGGUGCAUGGUUGUCGUCAGCUCGUGUCGUGAGAUGUUGGGUUAAGUCCCGCAACGAGCGCAACCCUCGUCCUAUGUUGCCAGCACGUAAUGGUGGGAAC
rnacentral:rRNA from 1 species